UACGGAGGAUCCGAGCGUUAUCCGGAAUUAUUGGGUUUAAAGGGUGCGUAGGCGGCCAUUUAAGUCAGCGGUGAAAGUUUGCAGCUUAACUGUAAAAUUGCCGUUGAAACUGUCGGUCUUGAGUGCAAAUGAGGUAGGCGGAAUGUGUCGUGUAGCGGUGAAAUGCAUAGAUAUGACACAGAACACCAAUUGCGAAGGCAGCUUACUGGGAUGCAACUGACACUGAUGCACGAAAGCGUGGGGAUCAAACAGGAUUA
rnacentral:rRNA from 1 species